GUCUACAGCCAUACCACCCUGAAUGUGCCCAAUCUCAUCUGAUCUCAGAAGCCUAAGCAGGGUUGGGCCUGGUUAGUACUUGGAUAGGAGACUGCCUGGGAAUUCCGGGUGCUGUAGGCU
rnacentral:rRNA from 1 species